rnacentral:rRNA from 1 species
AUUGAACGCUGGCGGCAGGCCUAACACAUGCAAGUCGAGCGGAUGAAGGGAGCUUGCUCCUGGAUUCAGCGGCGGACGGGUGAGUAAUGCCUAGGAAUCUGCCUGGUAGUGGGGGAUAACGUCCGGAAACGGGCGCUAAUACCGCAUACGUCCUGAGGGAGAAAGUGGGGGAUCUUCGGACCUCACGCUAUCAGAUGAGCCUAGGUCGGAUUAGCUAGUUGGUGGGGUAAAGGCCUACCAAGGCGACGAUCCGUAACUGGUCUGAGAGGAUAAUCAGUCACACUGGAACUGAGACACGGUCCAGACUCCUACGGGAGGCAGCAGUGGGGAAUAUUGGACAAUGGGCGAAAGCCUGAUCCAGCCUUGCCGCGUGUGUGAAGAAGGUCUUCGGAUUGUAAAGCACUUUAAGUUGGGAGGAAGGGCAGUAAGUUAAUACCUUGCUGUUUUGACGUUACCAACAGAAUAAGCACCGGCUAACUUCGUG